rnacentral:lncRNA from 10 species
UUCCAAUGUCCAGCUGAGCUCAUAAAGGUCUUUGGGGUGGGGCUAGGGGGUGGAGUUCUAAAGCCUGCACAAGCCAGGAAAGAGCCUCCUGGGUAAGGCAAGGCUCAUGAAAUUCUCUGAGUGGGUCAAAUGGGGACUGGAAAAAUUCCACCCACUAGCUCAGCUAAUGGGUAAAAAUGCUGGACAUUUAUCUGGAGCUGCAGGGGGUAAAGUGUCAUCCUUGGGAAAUUCAAAGCUGGCCUGUACCUGCUGAGAGCACCAGGGAUAUGGUCACAUUGCAAGCCUGUUGCCAGCACCCCAGGCAGAGUCAUCAACAAUUACUUUGGAGGAGGGCCACUUCCACCUUCCAGGGCAUAGGUGACCCCUGUGGAAAACAAGUACCCCUGGAACAUCCUAGAAGUGGAGGUGGACCAUAAACUAGCCACUGGAAUGAGAAUGCAGUAAAACAGCUUGCCUCAGAGUGGUCUUCCCUGGAACACACAGCUUCUGUUAAGCAUUCAUGAUUCUGACGGGCCAGUCAUCCCUUCAUUGACUUUGUCCAGCAGCUCCACCAUUACAGUCUCAUUUUAGAAAAUAAAGACACUUGGAAACAAAUUGAAAGGGCGUUUUCCUGCACCAACCCCAUUUGACUUGCCUCAGCAUGCUGAAUGGAGGGCUGCACUCCCCCCAUGACUGCCUGGACCCAUCACUCUAGGGUCCAUGUGGGUUGCAUGGCAGUCCUCCACUUUUUGGCCAUUGGAUCCUCAUUUUCUAUUAAUUCCUUAAGGGAUGGCCGCUCAUAGCUGGUUCUGGGUCAGUUUUGGAGAAUGCUUUUAAAUAUUUAAAAAUGUUGUCAUGACUGGAGAACUUGAGGUCUUUGUUGGCAUGGUUCUUGGAAGCCCACAGUAGCCCCAUUUCCCAUCCCCCAGGUUCUAGGGAAAGGUGGCUGAGGAAAUGGUGAGGAAGACUGAGAAAGGCCACAAGGGACCUUUAGUGCUCUUUGUUGGGUGGUUCUAUUGGGCUUUGGCUGCAGACAGCUAGGACGAUUCUAGAGAAACUAUGAUCUGGGGCUGGAUGGCUCAGUGGACUAUAUAUGGAAAUUGCCCUGUCACCUGGAUUGCUAAGAACAGAAAUUACAUUACCCCCAUCAUAAAGCCCCAAACAACUAAGAUAUUGCUUCUAGAUGGUAACCAUGGAAACAUCCCAUUGUUGUGGAUGACCUGCCACCAGAACAAAAGCCUGUUUUUUUCUGCUUCCAUGAGGAGUGGCAUAUAGUGCUCCCCACUCCACACUCCCCUCCUUUCCUGCUGUCUCACAGCAUUGCUCCAGGUCAGGGCUCAGGGACCCAAGAAGAAGGGAUACCACUCAGCUCUCUGGGCUCACUCUGCUCCUGGUGAAUGCCAAGGGAAGAGCCCUGAAGACAGGAAGCAAAGAAUAGAGAUAAAGAUGAGAAGAGAUGACAUUCGGCAGUGUUGGUGAGAGACAGAGGCUGGGGCAGGCUGUCAGUGUCAUUGGGGAUAGCAUUAAGGACAUUCAUGAGGCAGUACACAUGUCUGGAGUCCCAUCUGACUGGCAUCAGUAAACAUCCUCUUCCAUUCAUUCUGGAGAGGGAGCCUUAAUUAGGCAUGAAGAGAUUUAUCAAAAAGCAGCCCCCUGGAGUUGUUAGUCUCCCUGCCAUCUGGAAGGAUGGUUUCCUACCCUCAACAACAGCAGUGGGAAUGACUGAUGGGGUCCUAUAACUCCACCUCCCAGGACUCGUAAAACCCAAAUGGCUUUCGUCCUUCCCAGAAAGGAGUGAGAUUUUGCCUGUGCUGAUGGGGUUCAUGCUGAGGUUUGUUGGGUCUCUGUGUCUAGGCCUCUGCAUAGGGCUAGUUUUCAGUUUACAGUGAUCCAACCACAAAGAUGAACAGGAAAAGCCCUGAAGUGAGGAUGAGAAGACCUGGAUGAACAUUCUACCAGGAAGCCGUGAGGCUUCAUGCAGGUUUUUGGCCUCAGUUUUAUGACCUAUACAACGGGGAUAAUGAUUUCUGCUUUGGUCCAACCCACAUGAUUUUUCAGAGGUUCUUGUGAUAUUAUAGAUGCAAAAUGACUUCCUUAAGUAUAAAGCCCUCUACAGGUAUUAAGGAUUUAAUCCAACAAACAUUUAUUGAGCAACUGCUGUGUGCUAUGCACCACGCCUAGUG